GAGUUUGAUCCUGGCUCAGAAUCAACGCUGGCGGCGUGCCUAACACAUGCAAGUCGAACCGCCUGUUUUCGGAGUAAUCUGGAAACAGGAGUGGCGAACGGGUGAGUAACACGUGGGUGAUCUGCCUUGGAGUGGGGGACAACUCGCUGAAAGGCGGGCUAAUACCGCAUAAGUCCCUGGGGUCGAACCCGGGGGGAAAGCUUCAGGAGCAAUCCUGAGGUGCUCUAAGAGGGGCCCGCGGCCGAUUAGCUUGUUGGGGGGGUAAGAGCCUCCCAAGGCGACGAUCGGUAGCCGGUCUGAGAGGACGGACGGCCACACUGGAACUGAGACACGGUCCAGACUCCUACGGGAGGCAGCAGUGGGGAAUUUUGCGCAAUGGCCGAAAGGCUGACGCAGCAACGCCGCGUGGAGGAAGAAGGUCUUCGGAUCGUAAACUCCUGUCCGAAGGGAAGAAGCUCCGCAAGGAGUUGACGGUACCUUUGGAGGAAGCCCCGGCUAACUCCGUGCCAGCAGCCGCGGUAAUACGGGGGGGGCAAGCGUUGUUCGGAAUUACUGGGCGUAAAGGGCGCGUAGGCGGCCCGGGAAGUCUCAGGUGAAAGCCCCCGGCUUAACCGGGGAAGGUCCUGGGAAACCACUGGGCUUGAGUGCUGGAGAGGGGAGCGGAAUUCCCGGUGUAGCGGUGAAAUGCGUAGAGAUCGGGAGGAACACCGGCGGCGAAGGCGGCUCCCUGGACAAGACACUGACGUUGAGGCGCGAAAGCCAGGGGAGCAAACGGGAUUAGAUACCCUGGUAGUC
rnacentral:rRNA from 1 species